rnacentral:rRNA from 1 species
ACGGAGCCAUUUACAUGAAGCGGGUAAUACUGAAACGGAGAUGAAGGGAGGCUUAAAAAAGCCGCCGAGCUACCUUCACACCCUUGUGUUUCUACCAUGUUGCUUUGGCGGGCAGACCCGGUUUUGACCCGGGCGGUCGGCGCCCCCAGCCUAGUCUCUAGGCCAGGACGCCUGGCUAAGUGCCCGCCAGUAUACAAAACUCCAGCGAUUAUUCUGUGUAGUCCUGAGAAUUCAUUUAAUGAAAUAAAACUUUCAACAACGGAUCUCUUGGUUCUGGCAUCGAUGAAGAACGCAGCGAAAUGCGAUAAGUAAUGUGAAUUGCAGAAUUCAGUGAAUCAUCGAAUCUUUGAACGCACAUUGCGCCACCUGGCAUUCCGGGGGGCAUGCUUGUGCGAGCGUCAUUUCAACCCUCAAGCUCUGCUUGGUAUUGGGCGACGUCCGCUGCCGGACGCGCCUGGAAGAACUCGGCGACGGCGUCUCAGCCUCGAGCGUGGUAGUAAAAUAUCUCGCUUUGGAGGAGGGGGCGCUGGCCGCGGGAAAUCGACCUUCGGUCACUAUUUUCCGAGGGUGACUCCGAUCAGGUGGGGAUCCCCCUGAACUUAAGCUAUCCAUAGAGGGGGGAAGGGNGGGCGUGGGGGGAGGGGCG